AUAAUUCUAGAUACACAACGUUUCUUAUCUAUCAAAGGCCUAUAGAUCCAAAAGAGACUUCUGUAUGCCAGUGCCACCUAAUAUGGAUAAUGGCUAAUCAUGUACACUUCAAACAUCGCAUUGUGGUAACACAAUCAUGAAUCAGAAGCCUUAUAGGACCUCAAAAGUCGAAACGAUCCCACCAAACUGAGCAGGUCAAGCCAUCACAAGAUCUUCCAAAGCACGGCCAAAUACAUUUCGAAAGUUACACUUCGAGCAGCAGAAAAGUCUCAAUCAAAGGCGCUCUACAGCUUAGCAAAAGUGCAAAAGGAAACAAAGAAACAAAGAGGCAACGAUGACACUACCAGCAGAUCCAAAAAAGGGGAAAUGCAUUACACGAAACGAACAAGAGGGUGAUGCUCACCCAAGCCCAACUAGGGCGGCCCUAGCGCAGAUCGACGACUGUCCGUCGCCGAUCUGCACGAGGGCCGCCAUAAUCGGGCUCGAGCGAGGAGACAAGGGAAAAAAUACGAUCGUGCGAGACUCACCAGGUGGUCGGGAGAGUGAACUAAGAGCCGAGAGAGACCCGCGAAAGCUGCGAACAGGAGAUCACAAGAUCCGAGCAAGUGAAUACACGACGAUCUGAGCUCGAGAUUGAUUAGCAAAACGGAAGACGGUAGACAAAUGAGACCUCUGCGAGAGAAGACGACGAAGACGAAGAUGAUUCUUAGGGUUUCUGAAGAGGGGAAGGGAGGGAUGUUGCUC